UACAGAGGUCCCGAGCGUUGUUCGGAUUCAUUGGGCGUAAAGGGUGCGUAGGCGGCGAGGCCAGUCUGAUGUGAAAUCCCCGGGCUCAACCCGGGAACUGCAUUGGAUACUGCCUUGCUUGAGUACUGGAGAGGGAACUGGAAUUUCCGGUGUAGCGGUGAAAUGCGUAGAGAUCGGAAGGAACACCAGUGGCGAAGGCGGCUACCUGGCCUAAUACUGACACUGAGGCACGAAGGCCAGGGGAGCAAACGGG
rnacentral:rRNA from 1 species